GCUCGUUGGAGUUCGGAGCAGCACGUCUAUCCUGCUGAUGUUAGCUGCUCUGUUGCAGAGCACGAUGUCCGCUCGUGGUGACGGCACUGCUAGGAAGAAGAUCUUGACGGACGAGUUCAGCGUUUCUGAUGUACCGGUGGGCACCUCCUCCACAAACUCAUAGACAACGACUUCCAGAUUUUUUUAUCGACGACCCCUCUUAAGGAAUGCUGACUCUAGAUUUUCAUCUCUGCCUUGCACUCCGAGCCCACAUCUGCUCAUUGUGUUUCAAAUUUCUACCACUGAGGCCUAUUCUUAUAUUUAUUAACAACUUGUGGUGUGGAGACCUACAGACUGUUUAAAUGCACUGUUCAGAAGAUGGGGAGUUUCUACUGCUGAAAUGCUGACUCUAUUAUCUACCGAUGGAAUUCACUGCUGUGUUUUUGCCCGCUGCUUACAUCACUCCACCCUUACCCAGGGCGAGCUAACUCCACGGCAGCGCUCAGCAAACUCAAUGACGUCAUUAGUGUGUUAGAGGUGGCUCAUCCCAAUGCUGUUUUUAUCGCAGCUGACGACUUUAAUCAGUGCAAUUUAUGGACUGUACUUCCUAAAUACCACCAACACGUGAACAUUCCCACCCGUGAGAAGAAUACACUGGAUCAUGUUUACAGCAACAUGCACGGUGCAUACAGGGCUGCACACCACCCUCACUUGGACACUCGGACAACAUCUCUCUGUUCCUGUAUCCAGCCUACAGACAAAGGCUGAAACAAACAAACACUAUUGUUAAGCAAGUUAAACUUUGGACCCCAGAGACUGAGAGCACCCUGCACGACUCAGACAGACUGAGAUGUGUUUAGAGCUGCAGCCACUCUGGAGAAUUCUUCUAUCAGAAUACAGGACUAUGCUGAGUAUGUGACUGGUGUGGUGGGCAGCUGGGAGCUGUGCCCAGCCAGGAUGCCUAGAAGGAUCGGGAGAGGGACUAUGCCUCCCCGGACCACGAGAGGGCAACCGC